CCUACGGGGGGCAGCAGUGGGGAAUCUUUCACAAUGGGCGAAAGCCUGAUGCAGCGACGCCGCGUGCGUGAAGAAGUAUUUCGGUAUGUAAAGCUCUAUCAGCAGGGAAGAAAAUGACGGUAACUGAUUAAGAAGCCCCGGCUAACUACGUGCCAGCAGCCGCGGUAAUACGUAGGGGGCAAGCGUUAUCCGGAUUUACUGGGUGUAAAGGGAGCGUAGACGGCAACACAAGUCCGGAGGGAAAUGCCGGGGCUUAACCCCGGGACUGCUUUGGAAACUGUGCAGCUCGAGUGCGGUAGAGGUAAGUGGAAUUCCUAGUGUAGCGGUGAAAUGCGUAGAUAUUAGGAGGAACACCAGUGGCGAAGGCGGCUUGCUGGACUGUAACUGACGUUGAGGCUCGAAAGCGUGGGGAGCAAACAGGAUUAGAUACCCUGGUAGUC
rnacentral:rRNA from 1 species